rnacentral:rRNA from 1 species
GACGAACGCUGGCGGCGCGCUUAACACAUGCAAGUCGAGCGAUGAAAUUUCGACAGAUCCCUUCGGGGUGAAGAUGAAAUGGAUUAGCGGCGGACGGGUGAGUAACACGUGAGUAACCUGCCUUUGACAUUGGGAUAGCCUCGGGAAACUGGGAUUAAUACCAAAUGACACUAACUGAUCACAUGAUCAAUUAGUCAAAGAAAUUCGGUCAAAGAUGGACUCGCGGCUGAUUAGCUAGUUGGUGAGGUAACGGCCCACCAAGGCGACGAUCAGUAGCCGGCCUGAGAGGGUGAUCGGCCACAUUGGAACUGAGACACGGUCCAAACUCCUACGGGAGGCAGCAGUGGGGAAUAUUGCACAAUGGGGGAAACCAUGAUGCAGCGACGCCGCGUGAGCGAAGAAGGCCUUCGGGUCGUAAAGCUCUUUUAUGAGGGAAGAUAAUGACGGUACCUCAAGAAAAAGCCCCGGCUAACUACGUG